rnacentral:lncRNA from 1 species
CCCAUUGCUAGAAGGAAGCCAACCCAAAAGCAUUCAGCAGGAGAGCCCAGGGGAGACAAUCUAUAGGUCUCUACUUCCUCCUGAGGCACAGACAAGAUCACAGAUGGAACUGAGAGGCAGGUGGGGAAUAAUUGGCACAGGAGUAAUCCAGUGAUUCCUGACGCAUGUGCAAGAGGAGGUCUGCUAUCUGAGAAAGAUGAGUAUGGCUUCCAAUUCUCUUCUCAGCAUGCCUAGGAAAUUUGAAUACAUUCCAGGAAAGAAGUCCAAUCAAGACGUUACUGCUAAGGUCGUAGCAAAGGAAAUGUUCACAGCAAAGACAGGGACGACCAAG